rnacentral:lncRNA from 1 species
AUCUUUCAUUGUUAGUAUAUAGUAAUGCAAUCGAUUUCUGCUUAUUAAUUUUGUAUCCCGUGACUUUGCCAAAUUCAUUGAUGAGCUCUAAUAGUUUUCUGGUAGUGUCUUUAGGAUUUUCUAGGUAUAGAAGCAUGUCAUCUGCAAACAGUGAUAAAUAAUUGUGUAGAAGUUAUUCCAUUUGUUAAAAAAAAAAAAAGGAAAGUAGUUGGGUAGUGAUUCUCAUCCCCGGCUGCUCAUUAGAAAUUAGAAUCAUCUAGAAGAUUGCCAAGUAUACAUGAUGGAGCCUUGUGCCCAGAUACCCUGAUUUACUUGAUCUGGGAUAGGGUCUGAGCACGUGUGUUUUUCUGUGUGUCUCACGUGAUUCUAUUGUGCAGCUGCGAUCAUAACCUCUGCUCUAGAUGGUCUCUUUGGGACUUUUGGAGCUGCCACAGAACCACAGAAUAAUAGUUACGAUUGGCGUUUUUAUAAGAGGAGGACACACACACACACACACACACACACACACACACACACACACACAGGAAGGACCAUGUGAAAACAAGACAGAAGAAGAGGGUAACCUGCAGGCCAAGGAGAGAAGCCUCAAAAAACAAAAAAAACCCCCCAAAACCAAAAAACCAACACCUCUGCCAACACCUUGAUGUUUGACUUCCAGACUCCAGAACUGUGAGCAAAUAAAAUUCUGUUGUUUAAAGCACUCAGUCUGUGGUGGUACCCUUUCAUGGCAACUAAAGCAGACUAAUUCAGAUCCCACUGUGAAUAUGUUCACUACAUUGUGUCUUGCCUCCCGUGUGAAGCCAGGGGAAGAAAUUCUUUUGGAACUGUUCUGGGAAAGUAAUUAUGGAUUGGUUCUCCUUUUUGCUUUGGCUGCCAGGAAAAUGGACGUCAAGCUUGAAACUAAACCAUAGCAGCCAUGUGAGACGUUAUGGUCUGGGUUUUUGUAUUCUUUCCCCCAUAUUAAUCAAUGAUUCUUACAUAUUUUUUUCUCUCAUUCUCCCUCUGAUUGCACAUUUCCCCAGUUACUGGAAAGAAUGGAAGUUAAAAAUAAAGCGGCUGGGAUCCAUAGAAGUUGAUGCUGCAGAGGGCAAGUCCCAGAGAGGACUUCAGCUCAGAGCAUCAACUGCCAACAUUUCUAGAAGAUAA